rnacentral:rRNA from 1 species
UUAAAUCAUUAAAGUUAAAAGAUUUGGCGGUAUUUUAUAAAAUUAGAGGAACCUGUGAUUUAAUUGAUAAUCCACGAUAAGAUUUACUUAAAAAUUUAUGUAUUGCUGUUUGAAGAAUUUUAUUAAAUAAAAAUUUAAAGUUUAAAAAAAAAGUAAUUCAAGUCAAAAUAUAGUUUAUUUAAGUUAUGGGUUACAUUAUUGAUUUUUUAAAGGAUUUAAUAGUAA